UACGUAGGGGGUAAGCGUUGUCCGGAUUUAUUGGGCGUAAAGAGCGUGUAGGCGGCCAGGUAGGUCCGUUGUGAAAACUCGAGGCUCAACCUCGAGACGUCGGCGGAAACCCUCUGGCUAGAGUCCGGAAGAGGAGAGUGGAAUUCCUGGUGUAGCGGUGAAAUGCGCAGAUAUCAGGAAGAACACCCGUGGCGAAGGCGGCUCUCUGGGACGGUACUGACGCUGAGACGCGAAAGCGUGGGGAGCAAACAGG
rnacentral:rRNA from 1 species